GGCCUUGGGCGAUCUGGCUGCGACAUCUGUCACCCCAUUGAUCGCCAGGGUUGAUUCGGCUGAUCUGGCUGGCUAGGCGGGUGUCCCCUUCCUCCCUCACCGCUCCAUGUGCGUCCCUCCCGAAGCUGCGCGCUCGGUCGAAGAGGACGACCAUCCCCGCUAGAGGAGGACCGGUCUUCGGUCAAGGGUAUACGAGUAGCUGCGCUCCCCUGCUAGAACCUCCAAACAAGCUCUCAAGGAAAGCACAUUUUUUAAGAAAACAUUUUAAAGAAGAAAGGGCCAAGGACAGAGAUUUACAGCAUUAAAUUUUAAACUUUAUGCUUUAAUUUUUUCAGUCAUU
ensembl:misc_RNA 7SK 7SK RNA